rnacentral:lncRNA from 1 species
GGCCUGGAUGAGACCCAUCCUGGCAAGAUCUGGGCUGGACCACGUCAGGCCCAAAGAAGGAAGAUGGAGGCUAGAGGAGGGGACAGGGCCUGUGUCGGUCAGAGGAGGAUCGAGACAGACCACUUCUGCCUCCCACCUGGCAGGCCCAGGAGGGCCGGGGGUUCUGGGGGGCGGGGGGCGGGGUGGUCUGGGCUGCAGGUGUGUUGUGGCCUGGCUCCCACCCCAGAAGUAAAUCGCUUCAUUUCCCUGUUUCCUCCCAUCUACCGAGCCACAAAGAAGUGUAGGUCCCUUGAUUCAUCCGGAAGAGGAAUUCUUCCAGAAGGAGAAUAUUCAUCUAGGAUGGGGCAGAAUUGGGAGAUAAGAGGUGCUGCGGGCUUUGUCAGCAGCCUGGGAGACGGGGGACAUGGAGGAUCACAGCGGCAGAUCUUAAAUCAAAGCCCGGGCCAUCCAUCUUCCAGAAGAGACGGAAAUAACUAGGUGGGUGGCACAGACCGCCACCGCAUGGACAGCGAGAGAUUAGAAAGCUGGAAUCUUGAGCCCCUAAGUCCCUUCACCAAUUUCCCCAAACCCCAGGGACCUGCCUGCUGAAGGGAGAACUCAUUUUAGACUUAGCCCAGGAGGGUCCGUGGGCUCGACUGCAGGAAAUUCCUCUGUGUGGGGGCUUCUGAAGGCCCUUCCCCCACCACUGUUCUCUUAGCCCCCUUGCCCAUAGUUUCUCCUUGCAGGCACCCUCACGAGAGUCAGGCUGGCAGUGGUGGGGUAGCCGAGUGGUUAGUGGGUGUGCCAGACCGAUGGCUCAAAUCCUGGCUCCACUGCUCACCAGCUCUGCAAAGCUGGGCAAGCUGCAAAGAGACGGUUUGGCUCUCAGUUUCCUCAUCUAUAAAGCAGGAAGGAGGGGUUCCCGUCGUGGCUCAGUGGAAACAAAUCUGAUUGGCAACCAGGACACAGGUUCGAUCCCUGGUCUUGCUCAGUGGGUUAAGGAUCUGGCGUAGCCCUGAGCUGUGGUGUAGGUCACAGAUGCGGCUCAGAUCUGGUGUUGCUGUGGCUGUGGUGUAGGCCGGCAGCUGUAGCUCUGAUUCGACCCCUAGCCUGGGAACUUCCAUAUGCUGUGAGGAAAAAAAAAAAAGAAAUCUCCAAACAGGAACGAUAUACCAGCUUCAGAGGGUUGUUUGGAGGAUUAAACAAAAUCAUGCACACAAAGCAAAGGGCAAGAUGUCUGACACAGGGUAAGACCUCAAACAUUAACCAUGAAUGUUAAUCUUCUUGUUAUCCCGCAGGUGAGCUCCAUCCAGCUAGCUGCUGCUGCUCCCCACAGGCUCUCCUGCUCUUUUGCCUUUUUACACCCUAUCCAUCCCUCAAGCCUCAGUUUCAUUUCCACUUCCUCCAGGAAGCCCUCCCUGAAUGACCCUCCGAGGCGCCUCUGACUCCCAAGGCUGCCAAUGUCGGACUCAGUCACAUUGGUGGCAACUGCCUUUUG